rnacentral:misc_RNA from 1 species
CCGAGUUUACAACCCCCAAACCCCUGUGAACAUACCACUUGUUGCCUCGGCGGAUCAGCCCGCUCCCGGUAAAACGGGACGGCCCGCCAGAGGACCCCUAAACUCUGUUUCUAUAUGUAACUUCUGAGUAAAACCAUCAAAUAAAUUA